GAGACGACAGAAAAACACGGAGAGACAUUCCGAAUAUUAAUUAAGUGCACUUUCACAGUUCAACCAUAGUUA